GUUAACCAAAAACGAGGAGGAGGCGUCAGCCGAUUGAAGAAUUCUGAAGGCAACAGCAUCACGGCCUCGUGACAGCUGCAACAAGUGGAAUCUCUGUCAGAUGAUAGCUGCCUUGCUGCACUGCGUCCAGAAGGCUUCCCAGAAGGAUAGCCCGGACUCACUCUGGCCAUCAUGCCCAGCGGAACCGUACUUACAGGAUUCUCAGCAGAUGUUGACUGGCGACCACUUCAGUUUGUCCAGGCAAUGACUGGGGUACGCUUCUGCGAUUUGUGCGGAGUUUUGCCGAGAAACCUGCACCUCCUUGAAUGCACCCAUGGAUUCUGCCAUCACUGCUUCAACCAGCUGCUUGUGAAACCCUGCAAGAGCCCGUUUGACAAACGUCGCUUCACAGCCAGAGAGGUGCAAACCUUCGAGUUCACCGAGAGCGAACUGUUGCAGUUCGAAGUCCACUGCUGGAACUACGCCGACGGUUGCGAUUUUUUGGCUGUCCUCGUUGCAAGUACAGAGUUCGUCGCAGUGAAAUCCUUGAGCACAACAGCACAGAAUGCAAGGGUCCGUCUGCUGAACAAGGAAUGAACAUGUCUCACGCCAAGGACUUCGUAGCAGACGAUAUUGUUCGAGUAAGCCAAGAUAUGCAGCGUAGCGUGAUAUCGUUCUGCAACCAUCAGGAGACCUUGCAAAAUAAAGUGAACGCUUUAUCCUCAAGUAUCAAAUGCUUAGGAAAGAAGCUGCUACAGGUGAAAAAGGUCGCGGAAAACGCUGUCAAUGCGUGCAACGUACAGAAACAAGAUGCACUUCGUGCCGUUCAGGUCAGUGUCUCAGGGGACGAGAGAAAAGUGACCAACAAAAUUUUAAGUCAUGUCGGAGUAUCAAAUCCUGCUGCAACGAAAGGGGAGGAGGAGGAGGAAACAGCGGGUGGUGUGACUGGACCACGUGGUCUGGACAGACCAAGAAGCACAAGAAGAAGAAAAGGACGAAGAAGUAAUAGGCAACGGUAAAGUGUCUGAUAAACAGGACAGGGCAGAUGUCAUCUCGACAGGCAUUGACCGAUUCAUUGGGUGUACGUUGGACCCUUCGCGCUUCUUCGUGUUUCUGUAAACCCCGUAUUCGUUGUACCAGUUUCGUAUAAACUGCAAGGUGCUCUCCACGUGCUCCAGAUGCUGCUCCUGGUCACGUCGCUUUCCGUCCCGCUAAACUUAUGUAGCCGCAAAUGACACACAGCUAAUUCCAAAUCAAAAAUUCGUCGGCGUCGUACAAGCCGGGCCCAGUAUUUUGUUCGUCGUUAUUUUUAACAGGAACUAGUUUUUAAAUUGUGGUGGACCUGCAUCAAGCAAUGGGACAGAAAUGUACGUUGACUCGUUCAUGGUGUAAUAUACGCUGUCCUCGCAACUGCAA